rnacentral:rRNA from 1 species
GACGAACGCUGGCGGCGUGCCUAAUACAUGCAAGUAGAACGCUGAAGGAGGAGCUUGCUUCUCUGGAUGAGUUGCGAACGGGUGAGUAACGCGUAGGUAACCUGCCUGGUAGCGGGGGAUAACUAUUGGAAACGAUAGCUAAUACCGCAUAAUAUUGACUAUUGCAUGAUAGUCAGUUGAAAGGUGCAACUGCACCACUACCAGAUGGACCUGCGUUGUAUUAGCUAGUUGGUGGGGUAACGGCUCACCAAGGCGACGAUACAUAGCCGACCUGAGAGGGUGAUCGGCCACACUGGGACUGAGACACGGCCCAGACUCCUACGGGAGGCAGCAGUAGGGAAUCUUCGGAAAUGGACGGAAGUCUGACCGAGCAACGCCGCGGGAGUGAAGAAGGUUUUCGGAUCGUAAAGCUCUGUUGUAAGAGAAGAACGAGUGUGAGAGUGGAAAGCUCACACUGUGACGGUAUCUUACCAGAAAGGGACGGCUAACUACGUG